CCUACGGGUGGCAGCAGUGGGGAAUAUUUCGCAAUGGGCGAAAGCCUGACGCAGCGACGCCGCGUGAGGGAUGAAGGUCUUCGGAUCGUAAACCUCUGUCAGCAGGGAAGAACGGUCACUGUGCUAAUCAGCCGUGAAUUGACGGUACCUGCAAAGGAAGCACCGGCUAACUCCGUGCCAGCAGCCGCGGUAAUACGGAGGGUGCGAGCGUUAAUCGGAAUUACUGGGCGUAAAGCGCUCGUAGGCGGUAUGGUAAGUCAAGGGUGAAAUCCCCGUGCUUAACGUGGGAAAUGCCUUUGAAACUGGCAAACUGGAGUGUGUGAGAGGAGAGUGGAAUUCCAGGUGUAGGAGUGAAAUCCGUAGAUAUAUGGAGGAACAUCAGUGGCGAAGGCGGCUCGCUGGUCUGCAACUGACGCUGAGGCUCGAAAGCAUGGGUAGCGAACAGGAUUAGAUACCCGAGUAGUC
rnacentral:rRNA from 1 species